rnacentral:rRNA from 1 species
AACGCGAAGAACCUUACCUGGGUUUGACAUGCACAGGACGACUGCAGAGAUGUGGUUUCCCUUGUGGCCUGUGUGCAGGUGGUGCAUGGCUGUCGUCAGCUCGUGUCGUGAGAUGUUGGGUUAAGUCCCGUAACGAGCGCAACCCUUAUACUUAGUUGCCAACAGGUGAUGCUGGGGACUCUAGGUAGACUGCCGGUGUUAAACCGGAGGAAGGCGGGGAUGAUGUCAAGUCAUCAUGGCCCUUACGGGCAGGGCUACACACGUGCUACAAUGGCUAGUACAGAGGGCGGCGAAGUCGUGAGAUGGAGCAAAUCCUUAAAAGCUAGUCGUAGUCCGGAUUGAAGUCUGCAACUCGACUUCAUGAAGUCGGAAUCGCUAGUAAUAGCAAAUCAGCAUGUUGCGGUGAAUACGUUCCCGGGUCUUGUACA